AUUGAACGCUGGCGGCAGGCCUUACACAUGCAAGUCGAGCGAGCGGCGGACGGGUGAGUAAUGUAUGGGGAUCUGCCCGAUAGAGGGGGAUAACUACUGGAAACGGUUGCUAAUAACGCAUACUAUCGGAUGAACCCAUAUGGGAUUAGCUAGUAGGUGGGGUAAAGGCUCACCUAGGCGACGAUCUCUAGCUGGUCUGAGAGGAUGAUCAGCCACACGGCGACUGAGAAACGGCCCAGACGACUACGGGAGGCAGCAGUGGGGAAUAUUGAACAAGGGGCGAAAGCCUGAUGCAGCCAUGCCGCGUGUGUGAAGAAGGCCUUCGGGUUGUAAAGCACUUUCAGCGGGGAGGCGUUACCCGCAGAAGAAGCACCGGCUAACUCCGUGCCAGCAGCCGCGGUAAUAC
rnacentral:rRNA from 1 species